GACAGCGGACCCAAGAUGGCGACCGAGUUGGAGUACGAGUCCGUGCUGUGUGUGAAGCCAGACGUCAGCGUCUACCGGAUUCCGCCCCGGGCCUCCAACCGCGGUUACAGGGCCUCUGACUGGAAAUUAGACCAGCCUGAUUGGACUGGUCGCCUCCGAAUCACUUCAAAAGGGAAGACUGCCUAUAUCAAACUCGAGGAUAAAGUUUCAGGGGAGCUCUUUGCUCAGGCACCAGUAGAACAAUAUCCUGGUAUUGCUGUGGAGACAGUGACAGAUUCUAGCCGCUACUUUGUAAUCCGGAUCCAGGAUGGUACUGGGCGCAGUGCUUUCAUUGGCAUUGGCUUCACAGAUCGGGGAGAUGCCUUCGACUUUAAUGUCUCCUUGCAGGAUCACUUCAAGUGGGUAAAGCAGGAAUCUGAGAUUUCCAAGGAAUCUCAAGAAAUGGAUGCUCGUCCUAAGUUGGAUCUGGGCUUCAAGGAAGGACAAACCAUCAAGUUGAGUAUCGGGGUGAGUAUGGUUUUUAAAAAUUUUGUUUUCCUGUGCUUCCAUAAGCCGAUGACAUCUUUCUCUUGCUCUUCUUUUGUUCUUUUGUAGAACAUUACAAACAAGAAAGGAGGUGCUUCUAAGCCCAGGACUGCAAGGGGUGGGGGUCUGAGCCUACUCCCACCCCCGCCAGGAGGCAAAGUCACUAUUCCCCCACCAUCCUCCUCAGUUGCCAUCAGCAAUCAUGUCACCCCACCACCCAUUCCGAAAUCUAACCAUGGAGGCAGUGAUGCAGAUAUCCUUUUAGAUUUGGAUUCUCCUGCUCCUGUCACGACACCAGCACCAACUCCAGUUUCUGCAAGCAAUGACUUGUGGGGAGACUUCAGCACUGCAUCCAGCUCUGUUCCAAACCAGGCACCACAGCCAUCCAACUGGGUCCAGUUCUGAAUGGCAUUGGCAGGACAUUAAGGACAGACUUGAGGAAUAAAAAUGACCUUGAGGGCACCAAUCUGUGAGGGAAGUUAGGAACCCAUUUCCUCCCCAGAACCAGAAUGACUGGAAAAUCUUUUUCAUAGCUUCUCCAUCACAUUCAAGCUGGUUUAUGUCACUCCCCUGUGUUGUUACUUGUACAGCCAAGAAAGUAUCUGUUAUCUCCUGCUUAGUACCAAGGUAGGGGACUAGUGGAUCUUAUCAUAGUUUUGGCUGACUAUGCAGGGCUUAAAAGGCCAGCGUCUGUUUGAGGGGGAAUGACCUCUAACAUCUGUAAAAUUUGUCUCAUCUUUUAAAUUCUUUAACUUAUUUCAAAAUCAUCUCAUGACCCUUGUGUGCCUCUUUGUGAAGCCCUAUUUAGCAAUUUCAGGGGAGUCAAAAACCUUGCAACUUCCUUCUCCACUAACCCAGGACUAAAAAUGGACAGGCUCACCUCAGUGUUUACAAAUUCAGAAUUUUGAUAGGGGUAGAUAUGGAGAAAGACCUAUUUCCUGGGUCUCUGCUGUGUAGUCUCCUUCAGGCUUAUUGUACUCAGUGAACAUCCAGUGCUGGGUGCAGCUCCAUCACCCUCUUGUGUGUUUACAUGUCUCUUUCUAUGAUAAGAGGGUUGUGUUGGUGGCACCUCCACUACUCUUUUCUGUUUGUUGAGUGAAUUGUGUAACAUCUUUGAUCAGUGGGUGUCUCUGUAAUGAAGGAGGUUCAAGAGGCUGUGCUUUCCAAGUGAUAGUCUAUAGGAGUGUUUAAUUUCUUGCAGCUCCAUCUGGUUGCUGCAUUUGAAGCAUGGCAUUAAUUUGUAUUUGCCCUGUUCUUUGACCUAAAGUUGAAGGGUUUAGAGUUUUUAACCUGAUCUGUAGAGCAGAGAGGUUGAAAGCACUUAACUCUUGUUUAGUAUCCUCAUUGCCUUGCUGCCUGGGUAUCUGGCCCCUUUCCAUAAACAUUUCUUUUCAGUUCAUGUAGUUCUUUAAUAGAAAGCUGCUGUUAUGUAUAUUGUCAUUUGUGAAGGAAGUUGGAGAGUCACAGCUUUACUGUGACAGGUUUUGCCCAAGGCUUUGAUACCUGUCACCCAGGGUAUCUUAAAAGCAAGUUGUUCUCCCACUACUUUCCUUUCCCUCUGCCCUGCCAUUCCUUUUACAAUGCUGUGAAAAAAGUUCUGCUUCUUAGGUGAAUGGGGUACUUUCUAUUUUGUUUCUAAACGAGCAAUUUUGAGGAUGAAAUGGGAAGAUAUCAUUGCUUCCUUUUUGCACCUAUUGGGUAUGUACACUCUGGCCGAAGGGAGUCCUUAUGUUUAGUUUCAAAAUAUAUUACUUUCCUGGAUUCUCUUCUUCACUUUUUCUGACUUUGGGUCCAUUUUCUUUUCAUUGCCUCCUUUUCCAGGCAGCUCUAUUCUUGCAGAGCCAUAGCAGGACAUAUUAAAAUUCCAAUAGAAAACACUAAAAGGAAAGUCUGUGGAAUCACUAGUGACUAAAUACUGGGAACCUAUUUUCUCAAUCUUCCUCCAUGUUGUGUUCUUUGUAUUCUCGAGAUGAUAAUAUAUUAUGUAUUUGAAUUCCUGAAAAAUGGAAAAUGUUUAAGAUAUAUGUAUAUAAAGCAUAUGCUGUAUUGGU
rnacentral:sRNA from 1 species